rnacentral:rRNA from 1 species
AUUGAACGCUGGCGGCAGGCCUAACACAUGCAAGUCGAACGGAGCGGCGGACGGGUGAGUAAUGACUAGGAAUCUGCCUGGUAGUGGGGGAUAACGUCCGGAAACGGGCGCUAAUACCGCAUACUACCAGAUGAGCAUAGGUCGGAUUAGCUAGUGGGUGGGGUAAAGGCCUACCAAGGCGACGAUCCGUAACUGGUCUUAGAGGAGGAACAGCCACACUGGAACUGAGACACGGUCCAGACUCCUACGGGAGGCAGCAGUUGGGAAUAUUGGACAAUGGGCGAAAGCCUGAUCCAGCCAUGCCGCGUGUGUGAAGAAGGUCUUCGGAUUGUAAAGCACUUUAAGUUGGGAGGCGUUACCAACAGAAUAAGCACCGGCUAACUUCGUGCCAGCAGCCGCGGUAAUUC